rnacentral:tRNA from 1 species
UAGCUCAGUCAGUACAGCAUGAGACUCUUAAUCUCAGGGCCAUGGGUUCGAGCCCCAC